UACGUAGGGGGCAAGCGUUGUCCGGAUUUAUUGGGCGUAAGAGCGUGUAGGCGGCCAGGUAGGUCCGUUGUGAAAACUCGAGGCUCAACCUCGAGACGCCGAUGGAAACCAUCUGACUAGAGUCCGGAAGAGGAGAGUGGAAUUCCUGGUGUAGCGGUGAAAUGCGCAGAUAUCAGGAAGAACACCCGUGGCUAAGGCGGCUCUCUAGUACGGUACUGACGCUGAGACGCGAAAGCGUGGGGAGCGAACAGG
rnacentral:rRNA from 1 species